rnacentral:rRNA from 1 species
AGAACCUUACCCAGGCUUGAACAGCGAGUGACCAACUCCGAAAGGGGUCUUCCGCAAGGACACUCGUAGAGGUGCUGCAUGGCUGUCGUCAGCUCGUGUCGUGAGAUGUUGGGUUAAGUCCCGCAACGAGCGCAACCCUUGUCUGCUGUUGCCAUCAGGUAAUGCUGGGCACUCUGCAGAGACUGCCGGUGAUAAACCGGAGGAAGGUGGGGAUGACGUCAAGUCAGCAUGGCCUUUAUGUCUGGGGCUACACACGUGCUACAAUGGCCGGUACAAACCGUCGCAAAACCGUAAGGUCGAGCUAAUCGGAGAAAGCCGGUCUCAGUUCGGAUAGCAGGCUGCAACUCGCCUGCUUGAAGUUGGAAUCGCUAGUAAUCGCGGAUCAGCACGCCGCGGUGAAUACGUUCCCGGGCCUUGUCACACCGA